rnacentral:rRNA from 1 species
UUCAAUGAGAGUUUGAUCCUGGCUCAGAGCGAACAUUGGCGGCGCGUUUAACACAUGCAAGUCGAGCGAGAAAACUUCUUCGGAAGUG